UACAGAGGAUGCAAGCGUUAUCCGGAAUUAUUGGGCGUAAAGCGUCUGUAGGUGGCUUUUUAAGUCCGCCGUCAAAUCCCAGGGCUCAACUCUGGACAGGCGGUGGAAACUACCAAGCUGGAGUACGGUAGGGGCGGAGGGAAUUUCCGGUGGAGCGGUGAAAUGCGUAGAGAUCGGGAAGAACAUCAACGGCGAAAGCAGUCUGCUGGGCCGAGACUGACACUGAGAGACGAAAGCGAGGGGAGCGAAUGGG
rnacentral:rRNA from 1 species